rnacentral:rRNA from 1 species
ACUCCUACGGGAGGCAGCAGUGGGGAAUAUUGGACAAUGGGCGCAAGCCUGAUCCAGCAAUGCCGCGUGUGUGAAGAAGGCCUUCGGGUUGUAAAGCACUUUUAUCAGGAACGAAAAGCGUUGGAUUAAUACUCUGACGUGCUGACGGUACCUGAGGAAUAAGCACCGGCUAACUUCGUGCCAGCAGCCGCGGUAAU